rnacentral:snRNA from 13 species
AGCUUUGCACAGUGGCAGUAUCGUAGCCAAUGAGGUUUAUCCGAGGCGCGAUUAUUGUUAAUUGAAACGUGUUGAGAUAAAGAAAUUUGGAGAAAUUUAGAGACCAAGAUA